GGAGGAAAAGAACUAACAAGGAUUCCCCUAGUAACUGCGAGUGAAGCGGGAAAAGCUCAAAUUUAAAAUCUGACAGUCUUUGGCUGUUCGAGUUGUAAUCUAGAGAAGUGUUGCCCGCGCUGGACCGUGUACAAGUCUCCUGGGAUGGAGCGUCAUAGAGGGUGAGAAUCCCGUCUUUGACACGGACUACCAGGGCUUUGUGGUAUGCUCUCAAAGAGUCGAGUUGUUUGGGAAUGCAGCUCAAAAUGGGUGGUAAAUUCCAUCUAAAGCUAAAUAUUGGCGAGAGACCGAUAGCGAACAAGUACCGUGAGGGAAAGAUGAAAAGAACUUUGGAAAGAGAGUUAAACAGUACGUGAAAUUGCUGAAAGGGAAACGCUUGAAGUCAGUCGCGUUAGCCAGGGAUCAGCCUUGCUUCUUUGCUGGGUGUAUUUUCUGGUUGAUGGGUCAGCAUCAAUUUUGACCACUGGAUAAAGGCUUGAGGAAUGUGGCACCUCCGUGGUGUGUUAUAGCUUCUUGCUGCAUACAGUGGUUGGGAUUGAGGAACUCAGCACGCCGCAAGGCCGGGUUUCGACCACGUUCGUGCUUAGGAUGCUGACAAAAUGGCUUUA
rnacentral:rRNA from 1 species